rnacentral:rRNA from 1 species
GGCGGCGUGCUUAACACAUGCAAGUGGAGCGACGAACCGGGCUUCGGCCCGGGGCAAAGCCGCGAACGGGUGAGUAUCACGUGGGUAACCUGCCCCGAUGACCGGGAUAACCCGAGGAAACUCGAGCUAAUACCGGAUGUGCUCCCAAUCCAUCAGGGUUGGAAGUAAAGGAAGCUUCGGCCUCCGCAUUGGGAUGGGCCCGCGGCCCAUUAGCUUGUUGGUGAGGUAACGGCUCACCAAGGCAACGAUGGGUAGCUGGUCUGAGAGGACGAUCAGCCACACUGGGACUGAGACACGGCCCAGACUCCUACGGGAGGCAGCAGUGGGGAAUCUUGCGCAAUGCGCGAAAGCGUGACGCAGCAACGCCGCGUGAGGGAAGAAGGCCUUCGGGUUGUANACCUCUUUCAGGAGGGACGAAGGUUCAGGCGCGAAUAGCGUCCUGGACUGACGGUACCUCCAGAAGAAGCCCCGGCUAACUACGUGCCAGCAGCCGCGGUAAUACGUAGGGGGCUA